rnacentral:SRP_RNA from 2 species
GAAGGUUGGUGAUGGGCGAGUGCCCUUGUCAAUUGGGUCAGGUCCGGAAGGAAGCAGCCCCGGUGAGAUUUUCUCGGGUCAUCUAUACCAGCCUUCUAC